rnacentral:rRNA from 1 species
CAAGUCGAGCGGAAACGAGUUAACUGAACCUUCGGGGGACGUUAACGGCGUCGAGCGGCGGACGGGUGAGUAAUGCCUAGGAAAUUGCCCUGAUGUGGGGGAUAACCAUUGGAAACGAUGGCUAAUACCGCAUAAUCUCUUCGGAGCAAAGAGGGGGACCUUCGGGCCUCUCGCGUCAGGAUAUGCCUAGGUGGGAUUAGCUAGUUGGUGAGGUAAUGGCUCACCAAGGCGACGAUCCCUAGCUGGUCUGAGAGGAUGAUCAGCCACACUGGAACUGAGACACGGUCCAGACUCCUACGGGAGGCAGCAGUGGGGAAUAUUACACAAUGGGCGCAAGCCUGAUGCAGCCAUGCCGCGUGUAUGAAGAAGGCCUUCGGGUUGUAAAGUACUUUCAGCAGUGAGGAAGGUUCAUACGUUAAUAGCGUAUGGAUUUGACGUUAGCUGCAGAAGAAGCACCGGCUAACUCCGUGCCAGCAGCCGCGGUAAUACGGAGGGUGCGAGCGUUAAUCGGAAUUACUGGGCGUAAAGCGCAUGCAGGUGGUUUGUUAAGUCAGAUGUGAAAGCCCGGGGCUCAACCUCGGAAUUGCAUUUGAAACUGGCAGAGUAGAGUACUGC